GACGAACGCUGGCGGCGUGCUUAACACAUGCAAGUCGAACGGAAAGGCCUCUUUCGGGGGGUACUCGAGUGGCGAACGGGUGAGUAACACGUGAGUAACCUGCCCUUGACUUUGGGAUAACUUCAGGAAACUGGGGCUAAUACCGGAUAGGAGCUCCUGCUGCAUGGUGGGGGUUGGAAAGUUUCGGCGGUUGGGGAUGGACUCGCGGCUUAUCAGCUUGUUGGUGGGGUAGUGGCUUACCAAGGCUUUGACGGGUAGCCGGCCUGAGAGGGUGACCGGCCACAUUGGGACUGAGAUACGGCCCAGACUCCUACGGGAGGCAGAAGUGGGGAAUAUUGCACAAUGGGUGGAAGCCUGAUGCAGCAACGCCGUGUGCGGGAUGACGGCCUUCGGGUUGGAAACCGCUUUCGCUCAUGACGAAGCUUUGUGUGACGGUAGUGGGUAAAGAAGCACCGGCUAACUACGUG
rnacentral:rRNA from 1 species